rnacentral:lncRNA from 1 species
AUGUCUCUUGCUCUUAGUUAGCGAUGUCCAUCUCUACCCCACACUUACAUGGUGGGAACGUUCUGUGAAGAUGUGGGUUAUGGAUCAAGUUCUCCAGGGGCUUCUAUGCUGUCUUAGACGCGAGACCUGUAAUUCAGAGCGAAAGCACGCAGCAAAUGAAGUCUGACAUCUAUGAAACUUCCCAGACACGUAAUUCAGAGUAUGAGGUGUGAAUUUCACUACAGCAAAAUGAAGCACAAGACAAAGGAGUCCUUAAGAACCUCAGAUGAUGCCACUGGAGCCGAUUUCAAUAUUUACCCCUGACUGGAGUCUGAACUUUUCAGGCUGCUGUACUAUAAAACGUUUGCUAUCCUGGGAGGCCCAUGGCCCACCACCAUGGGGCAGCGAACUUGAGCAAGUUUGAUGAGGUGAAGCCUGCGGAAAGGCAAGCAUCUGAGUUUGGACCCAGAAGACCAUGGAAAAUAGAAUCAGU